CCCCUCCAGCUCUGCUCCUCCUGAUUGCCACCAGCUGACUUCACUCAACUCAUCUCUUCGGCUGCUCAAAAGGAGACCCAACGCCACAAUUCAACGCAAGUUCGUUGCUCCUUAUGGAUUACCUACCUCUCACGAGUGACGUCAGCGUGGACCUUCCAUUCAACUGCUCAAGAAACCUGAAGACCUCCCGGCUCCCGCUAACCGCAUCAAGCCCUCCAGCCACGCGACCCGCCACGUUCAAGUCCGGACCCCUUCCAGCUUCAACCAUCUUCACCUCUGGAGAAAUAAUAAAUCCUUUCUCGCCAAAA